rnacentral:ncRNA from 2 species
AAUCACAUAUGCGGAAAAGGUGUCCACGAUGUUGUGGACUUAAUAGGGAAAUCGGUGAAAAUCCGAUGCGGUCCCGCCACUGUAAUGGGGAACGAGACAAUUGCCACUGGGGUGCUAAGGUGAGGCCCUGGGAAGGCUGUCGAACGUGAUGAACCAGAGCCAGGAGACCUGCCUUUUCUAUGAACACCGU